CCUACGGGGGACAGCAGUCGAGAAUCAUUCACAAUGGGGGAAACCCUGAUGGUGCGACGCCGCGUGGAGGAAUGAAGGUCUUCGGAUUGUAAACCCCUGUCAUGUGGGAGCAAAUUAAAAAGAUAGAACCACAAUAGGAAGAGACUGCUAACUCGGUGACAGAAGCCGCGGUAAUACAGAGGUCCCAAGCGUUGUUCGGAAUCACAGGGCGUAAAGCGUGCGUAGGCUGUUUCGUAAGUCGUGUGUGAAAGGCGCGGGCUCAACCCGCGGACGGCAUAUGAUACUGUGAGACUAGAGUAAUGGAGGGGGAACCGGAAUUCUCUGUGAAGCAGUGAAAUGCGUAGAUAUCGAGAGGAACACUCGUGGCGAAGGCGGGUUCCUGGACAUUAACUGACGCUGAGGCACGAAGGCCAGGGGAGCGAAAGGGAUUAGAUACCCCGGUAGUC
rnacentral:rRNA from 1 species